rnacentral:rRNA from 1 species
AUUGAACGCUGGCGGCAGGCCUAACACAUGCAAGUCGAACGACUGGCGGACGGGUGAGGAAUAGGUGGGAACCUGCCCGAUGGAGGGGGAUAACUACUAGAAACGGUAGUUAAGACCACAUACAAUCGGAUGUGCGCCGAUGGGAUUAGCUGGUGGGUGAGGUAACGGCUCACCUAGGCGACGAUCCCUAGCUGGUCUGAGAGGAUGAUCAGUCACACUGGAACUGAGACACGGUCCAGACUCCUACGGGAGGCAGCAGUGGGGAAUAUUGCACAAUGGGCGAAAGCCUGAUGCAGCCAUGCCGCGUGUAUGAAGAAGGCCUUCGGGUUGUAAAGUACUUUCAGCGGGGAGGCGUUACCCGCAGAAGAAGCACCGGCUAACUCCGUGCCAGCAGCCGCGGUAAUUC